rnacentral:rRNA from 1 species
UACCAGCACCCCGAGUGGUCGGGACGAUUAUUGGGCCUAAAGCAUCCGUAGCCGGUCCUGCAAGUCUUCCGUUAAAUCCAGCUGCUCAACAGAUGGGCUGCGGGAGAUACUACAGGGCUAGGAGGCGGGAGAGGCAAGCGGUACUUUAUGGGUAGGGGUAAAAUCCGCUGAUCCAUAGAAGACCACCAGUGGCGAAGGCGGCUUGCCAGAACGCGCUCGGCGGUGAGGGAUGAAAGCUGGGGGAGCAAACCGG